rnacentral:rRNA from 1 species
AAUAGAUACCCGGGUAGUCCUGGCCGUAAACGAUGUCGACUAGAUCGCAGUUCCUUCAACGGUAUUGCGGUCGAAGCAAAAGUGCUAAGUCGACCGCCUGGGAAGUACGGUCGCAAGGCUAAAACUCAAAGAAAUUGACGGGGGCUCACACAAGCGGUGGAGCAUGUGGUUCAAUUCGAAGCAACGCGCAGAACCUUACCUGGGCUUGACAUGCUAGGAUUAUCCCUAUGAAAGUAGGGUAGGCCCUUCGGGGUACAACUAGUACAGGUGCUGCAUGGCUGUCGUCAGCUGUGUCGUGAGAUGUCGGGUUAAGUCCCUUAACGAGCGAAACCUUUGCCCUUAGUUACUAACGGGUUAUGCCGAGGACUCUAAGGGGACUGCCGGUGUCAAACCGAAGGAAGGUGGAGAUGACGUCAAGUCAGCAUGGCCCUGACGUCCUGGGCGACACACACGCUACAAUGGCCGGUCCAACGGGAAGCCAACCCGCGAGGGGAGCGGAUCCCAGCAAACCCGGUCUCAGUUCAGAUUGCAGGCUGCAACCG